CAUAAACAGUUUCUAACUUGCUCUCUCUUGGAUUACUAGUUCUGGGAAAAGUUAACAACCACGUCAAGAUGACAAACAGCCUUAGGAAGAGGUCUAGUGGUGAUUAACUGAGGCCUUCUGCCAAUAACAAGAACUAACUUGCCAGGCAUGUGAGUGAGAUGCCCUGGGAGCAGAUCCCCCAGCCUUAGUCGAGCCUUCAGAUGACCAGCACCAGUGACACUUGACUGGACCUGAUGAGAGACACUGAGUCAUCACUACCCAGCUAAGCUGCUCCCACCUUGACCCACGGAAACUGUGUCUCUGAAGUGCCAUGACCUACACUAGGUGCAGGGACUCUGCAUGAAGACUUGCGAGACUUCUUGAGUUCAAAUCCCAGCUCUGCCACUACUCUAUGAACCUGUGCAAAUUAAAAACACUCUGUGCUUUGGUUUUCCCCAAGCAAAAGGCCGGAGGCGGCACACCUGCACCUUCGCAUCUUAUCAAUCCACUGCGUCCCGGGGCCACGGUGCCAGAUUUAAUUUCCUGAAUCGUAGGAGCGACUGAAAAAGAAACAAACAAAGCAAGAAACCAGUGGGAGAAAGAGAAGAAAUAAAGAAGAGGACGAGGAUGAAGGGAAGAGAAAAAAAAAAAAAAGAGGAAUCGCCGAAUAAUAAGAUGAAAAAGCUGCAGUUAGAGAGGUUAAGUAACCUUCCUAAGUUCACUUAGCUGACAAAUUAGAUUCAAAUGCAGAUCUGUGGGACUCAGACAUUUUCAUUACAUAGAUAAACAUAGAUCAUUCUACAAGCAGUCUGGACAUGGCUAUCUCCGCUCAAUUAAUUUCAUCAUGAGAGAAUAUUCUUUUCAUCUCAACGAAGAUACCACUUCUUCUUUGAAGCCCAGCUAAAUUCUUCCAGAAAGACAUCCUCCCUCCGUCCCUCCCGCGUGUUCUCAUCUUGUGGAUCACUUGGGACCUUUGUGAGCACUUGGGGCCACAUCAUGCAGCUUUGGAAUGGAUUUAAAUUCUUUAUGAGUCUUUGAGCAAUUUCCCUAACCUCCAUAAUCCUGUUUACUCAUUGGUAAAAUGGGAAUAACACCUUCACUGUAGAGCUGCUGUGAAGAUUAGAUCAUGAAAAUAAAGCAUUUAGCAAGCGUCUGGCUCAAGAAAGGAACUCAGAAACAAGAAU